CAGUCCGCUCGUGAAUAUGACAAAUUACAUUUAUGAACAAAAGUGUAUAGUACUUACAGCUCAAUGCAGCGAUCUACAUUGACCGUGGCCUUGAAACCCAGUAUAGCGAAAAUCACUACACUGGCGUAUAUAGCGGUAAUGGCAUUACAAACCGACACCAACAGGACAUCACGAACACAGUUAUUCUUGGGCGGAUUAUAACUUCCAAAUGCUAUUAGCGAUCCAAAAGCCAAACCGAAUGAGUAGAAAACUUGUGUGGCAGCAUCUAGCCAUACUGUGGGAUCGGCUAGUUUCUCAACUUUAGGUGUAUACAUAUGUAUAAGCCCAGCACUAGCACCUCUCAGCGUAAUUCCACGUAUAAAGAAGAUCGUCAACACAAUGUAUGGGAAAAGUGAUGUGAAAUAUACCACCUUGCCAGAACUUUGAAUGCCUUUCAUCACAAUAAAAAAUACGAUAGUCCAAGAGAGGAACAAACAGAGUACGAUCCACCAUUUAAAACCACCUGGCUCAUCCAUUGAAGGCGCAGCAUCCAAUGUGGUUCGAUACCAAAAGUAAGCGGUUUCUGAAGAACGAGCGCACUCUUCCACUUCAACGGUGCCAUUUUUUGGACAAGAAGCCCACGGCAAAGGAUACUGCAAAUAAAUAAAUAAAAAUUGGUAGAAGAAAACCCACGUUAUGAUUACGUUGUAAUAUAGGGCGACAAACAGUGUAACAAUACAGGAAGAUAUGCCAAUGCCACCCAGCCAAGGAUGUAUUGUGUUCCAUACACCGAGUGCGCCCAGUCGCAUACGCUGCCCAAUGCCUAAUUCAAUUAAAAAGAGUGGAACUCCUUCUAAUAUCAGCAUCACCAUGAAUGGUAUAAGAAAAGCGCCUGAAAAGAGAAAUCAUUAAAAUACAAUUCUUUUAAUAAGAUUCAAUCCUCGUAUACAACUGUUCAAAGAAAAACUAGCUGAUUAGCGAGGUGAAACACUUUAAAAAAAUAAUAAUAACAAUAAUUAAAAUAUAAAUAAUUCUAAGUCGGCAUAGCAUAUGUAUUCUCGCCCUAUAUCCAACUAGGAGUUAGAGUAGCCUAUAUACAAACAUAUAAGGUAUAGCAUAUUCUUAAAUUCUUUCAAAAUAAUCUCGUCGUUGAUCAGUUGAUUUGGAUAUUCCAAUAAAAGUAAUAGGUUUACUUAUUUUAUCCACGGUUUUUAUUAUUCAUCAUUAAAUAGUUUCAUAUUCUGUUUAUAAAUAGAACGCGCGGCUGCCUCUGACAAGUGGACGUGCACGUAACUACCAUUCAGCGGUCCAGGUUUCGAUGCUCAAUGUGGAUAUGAAAUAUUAAAUGAUAAAAAAAAAUCUAAAGCAGUCGCCCCAGGGCAGGCAACUGCAACCCUUCUAGCGCUUUUCUGCCAUGAAAACACCGCAUUUG